UUUGCGUUGAAGUCAUUUCUGUGCAAAGCAUGCUGCAGUGCCAGAAGAAACGUUUUGUGAGCCAAGCGUGCAGCACACAUGCUUGGUGCAUUACAACAGGUUCUGCAAAUCUGGCAGGAGAGAAGAGUUUCCAGCAGGCAAAGAUCACUGCAU